GUAAUUUUUUAAAAAAUUGUACAAUAUUAAUAAUAUUGUAUAGGGAACCGUUUGUACAAAGAAACAUCAUGAGUAAUAACGAUAUUGAUAAAGGAAUAAUUACUUAUAUUUAUUUAGAAAAUUUUGUGACUUAUGAUAAAGUUUGUGUAAAACCUGGUAGGAACUUAAAUGUUAUUAUUGGCCCUAAUGGCACUGGUAAAUCGACAAUUGUUUGUGCGAUUGUGCUUGGAUUGGGAGGUAAACCUACCACCAUUGGUCGAGCCACUCAUGUCGCGGAUUAUAUAAAAAGAGGAUGUGAAGAAGCAAAGAUUGAAAUUCAUCUUAAAAAUGGGAAAAGCAACGAUAUUGUUAUUCAAAGAAUAUUUAACAAAUGUGGGAAAUCUUUCUGGUUCCUUGAUAAUAGACAAAUAGGUAUUAAAGAAAUACAGGAACUAACAGCAAGUCUUAACAUACAGGUAGAUAAUCUUUGCCAAUUUCUCCCACAAGAUAAAGUACAAGAUUUUUCAAAGAUGAAUGCACAAGAAUUGUUAGAAAAUACAGAAAGAUCUGUUUGUAGUCCCAUUAUAGUCGAACGUCACAAAAACUUGAUACAAUAUAGGAUAGACCAUAAGGAUUUAGAGAAACAAAUUGAAAGUAAAAAAAAGUCGCUAGAAUUGAAAACUCAGAUUUACGAUAGUUUAAAAGAAAGUGUCAGUAGUAUAAAAGAAAAGAAAUUAAUAAAGGAGAAAAUUUUACAUUUGAAACAGAAGAAAGCAUGGAUAUUAUAUGAACAAAAACGUAAAGAACUAGUUAAGUUAAAAGACAUGAAGAAUGCUGCACAAGCUGAAGUGGCACAUUUAGAAGCAGAAAUAAAGCCUGUUAAUGACGCAAUAACAGAAAUGAAAUCAGAAAUUCAAUCGCUUCAAACUUGUCUUUCAGACCAUAAAAAUAAAGUCAAGAUCAAAGAUAUGAAACUGAAGAAAAUGAUAGACAAUAUUGUAGACUGCGAAAAUGAUGUUAAAGAUUGCGAAAAUUCAUGCAAGCAAAGAAUUCAAGUAGAAGAGGCUCGAGAUCACGACAUUGAUAUUGCACAGAAACAAAAAAAAAAACUUGAUAACGAUUUAUUAUUAAUGUUGAAAGAUAUUGGAUCUGAGGAAAUUUUAGUGAAACAGCGCCAAGAAAUAAUAUCCGACAUAGAAAAGAAAAGGAAUAUCAUUAAUAUGUUAGUAAGCCAAGCUUCAGAAUCAAAACAAAAAGAAGACCAGCUAAACCUUGAAAUUGCAUCUCAAGAAGCAGAACUACAAGCUCUUAAUAUUGAAGCAAAACGAUUGCAAUUUUUAAGGGAAAGAAGUGUUGAUACAUAUAAAGCAGUGCAGUGGCUGAGGGAAAAUCGUAACAAAUUUUCAAAUAUGAUACAUGAACCUAUAUUACUUAACAUAAACGUGAAGGAAGCUUCUUACGCGAAGUAUUUGGAAAAUAUCUUUCCAUUUCGGGACAUGAUAGCAUUUGUUUGUGAAGAUAAACAAGAUAUGAACAUGUUAUUGCAUUACUUAAGGGACGAGCAGAAUUUACAAGUAAACGUUGUACAUUCCGAUCCUGCGAAAGAUGUUUCAAUGAAUCCAAUUGUUCCAUUGCAACACAUUAAACAAUUUGGCUUUACUCAUUACUUAGUAUCACUGAUUGAAGCUCCGAGUACCAUUCUGAAAUAUUUAGUGUCUAUGUAUAAUUUAAACAAUAUACCCAUAGGAAAAAAUCAAGUUGACGAUAACGUCGAUCGUAUACCUAACAAUAUACGUUGUUACUUUAGUCAAAAUAAUGUAUAUAUGGUAAAUAGAUCUAAGUACACUGGAGAAAAGUCUAUCGGAAUGCAACCAGUAUCGGGUACAGGAAUGUUAUCUAUCGUGUUAGAUAGAAGGAGAAUGAUAAACAUUGAAGAAAAAUUGAAGGAAUUACGAGCGAAAAAAAACAAGGAAAGUAAUAAACUUAAACAGCUUGAUGAGCAAGUACAUGAACAAAAUAAAGAGUUAGAUAAAAUAAAAGCUACCAGAAACAAAUAUCAGCAAGAUCUUCAACAAAUACAAACUCUGAAAUCUAAAAUACAUAUAGUGGAGAAAAAAGUUGUAGAUUUACAAAAUGGGCGAACCACUGUUGAAGAAAUAAAAAAAUAUUCUACUAAAGAAAUAAAGAAAAUUAUGGAGAAGCAAAUAAAAAUAUAUAAGGCAUACAAUACUGAAUUAGUAGAGUCUGUUGAAUGCAUUAUGGACAGUGAGACAACCGACUAUGUAUUAGCAUUGCGUAAUCGAUCUUUGAGAGUGAAAAUAAACAAUUCUCACGAUUUAAGAGAGCGACUCAAGGAAGCAGAAGAUAAAGUGAAGCAAUUAUGCCAGGAAUUACAACCUCUGAAGCACGAAGUACAAAGAGUAUUUAAUCAAGCAUUGCAAUCUACCAAUGGUAUUAGUGCCUCGGACAGUGCGUUUGCACCCAUAAAAAAGAUAUUCAAUAAAUUGCCGCCGACCAUAGAGGAAAUUAAUAAUGAAUUGAAUAUCGCACAAGCAAAAAUGUUUUGUAUGGGAAAUAAUAUAGACGGAGAAAAUAUAUUACAAGAAUAUGAGCAAGUAGAACAAAAUAUAAACCAAUUAAAAGAUUUGAUUCAGAGUAAAACACAAGAAUUACAAGAAACUACGCAAAAUAUAGAAUCGUUACGAAAGGAAUGGUUAACGCCUUUAUCACAAACCAUUGAAAAAAUUAAUUCUAAUUUCAGUAUGUAUUUCUCAGCAAUGGAUUGUGCUGGUGAGGUUGUAUUGGCACAACCGGAGAAUCAUAUGGAAUUUGAUCAAUAUGGUCUCAAGAUUAGGGUAAAAUUCAGAAAUACCGACCAAUUACAAGAAUUAACAAGAUAUCAUCAAAGUGGUGGAGAAAGAGCUGUAACUACUGCUAUUUAUAUGAUUGCACUUCAGGAAUUGUCAAGAGUACCAUUUCGCUGUGUUGAUGAAAUUAAUCAGGGCAUGGAUGCUGUGAAUGAAAGAAGAGUAUUUAAUUUGCUUGUGAAAAUGACUGGACGAGCAAAUAGUUCUCAGUAUUUUUUACUCACACCAAAGUUACUACCGGAUUUACAAUAUUCAGAGACAGUGACAGUCCAUUGUGUGUUCAAUGGAGCAUUCAUGAUCAAUCAUACAGAAUUUGAUACAGAAAAGUAUUGUGAGUUCAUUGUUAGGGCAAUGGAAAGAGAAUGUACAGAUGACAAUUAAUGAUUAAAAUGUUUUGUUAUGUCUAAAUACUACAUGUACUAUAAUGUUUAUGUCGAAAAUGUAGUUACACAGAGUAUUAUAGAUAUAUUUUUCCAAAUAUUCGAAACGUGAUUAUUAUUCACUUCCUCCCCUUCUUCUUCUUCUUCUUCUUCUUUUGUGCUUCAGGCCAAGGGAAUCCUCUACACUUCAAUACAUCCAUAAUAUUAUGGCAAGUAUAAUAAGCAUUUUCCAUGACCUCUUCA